AUUGAACGCUGGCGGCAUGCCUUACACAUGCAAGUCGAACGGCAGCACGGGAGCAAUCCUGGUGGCGAGUGGCGAACGGGUGAGUAAUACAUCGGAACGUGCCCAGUCGUGGGGGAUAACGUAGCGAAAGCUACGCUAAUACCGCAUACGAUCUGUGGAUGAAAGCGGGGGACCGUAAGGCCUCGCGCGAUUGGAGCGGCCGAUGUCAGAUUAGGUAGGUGGUGGGGUAAAGGCCUACCAAGCCGACGAUCUGUAGCUGGUCUGAGAGGACGACCAGCCACACUGGGACUGAGGCACGGCCCAGACUCCUACGGGAGGCAGCAGUGGGGAAUUUUGGACAAUGGGCGCAAGCCUGAUCCAGCAAUGCCGCGUGCAGGAUGAAGGCCUUCGGGUUGUAAACUGCUUUUGUACGGAACGAAACGGCUCUUUCUAAUAAAGAGGGCUAAUGACGGUACCGUAAGAAUAAGCACCGGCUAACUACGUGCCAGCCGCCGCUGUAAAAC
rnacentral:rRNA from 1 species